rnacentral:rRNA from 1 species
UACGGAGGGGGCUAGCGUUGUUCGGAAUUACUGGGCGUAAAGCGCGCGUAGGCGGCUUUGUAAGUUAGAGGUGAAAGCCCGGAGCUCAACUCCGGAACUGCCUUUAAGACUGCAUCGCUAGAAUUGUGGAGAGGUGAGUGGAAUUCCGAGUGUAGAGGUGAAAUUCGUAGAUAUUGGGAAGAACACCGGUGGCGAAGGCGGCCAUCUGGACCGCAACUGACGCUGAGGCGCGAAAGCGUGGGGAGCAAACAGG